CCUACGGGUGGCAGCAGUGAGGAAUAUUGGUCAAUGGACGAGAGUCUGAACCAGCCACGUAGCGUGAAGGAUGACUGUCCUAUGGGUUGUAAACUUCUUUUAUAUGGGAAUAAAAUGUUCCACGUGUUGGAUUUUGUAUGUACCCUAUGAAUAAGCAUCGGCUAACUCCGUGCCAGCAGCCGCGGUCAUACGGCGGAUCCGCUCGUUAUCCGGGUUGAUUGGGUUUAAAGGGUGCGUAGGUGGCUUGUUAAGUCAGUUGUGAAAGUUUGAGGAUCAACCGUAGCAGUGCAGUUGAAACUGGUAGUCUUGAGUGCAGGAGAGGUAGGCGGAAUUCGUGGUGUAGCGGUGAAAUGCUUAGAUAUCACGAAGAACUCCGAUUGCGAAGGCAGGUCACUGGACUGCAACUGACACUGAGGCACGAAAGUGUGGGUAUCAAACAGGAUUAGAUACCCCUGUAGUC
rnacentral:rRNA from 1 species